CCAAUAGCGUAUAUUAAAGUUGUUGCAGUUAAAAAGCUCGUAGUUGAAUUUCGGGAUCAAAGGAUCGGUCAUGCCUUGGUAUGUACUGGUUUUAUUGGUUUUCACCUUCUAAAGAACCAUAAUGUCAUUCAUUUGAUGUUUUGGGGAAUUAGGACUGUUACCUUGAAAAAAUUAGAGUGUUUAAAGCAGGCUUACGCUUGAAUACAUUAGCAUGGAAUAAUGAAAUAGGACAACAGAUUAUAUUUUGUUGGUUUCUAGGAUCGAUGUAAUGAUUAAUAGGGAUAGUUGGGGGCAUUAGUAUUCAAUUGUAAGAGGGGAAAUUCUUGGAUUUAUUGAAGACUAACUACUGCGAAAGCAUUUGCCAAGGAUGUUUUCAUUAAUCAAGAACGAAAGUUAGGGGAUCGAAGACGAUCAGAUACCGUCGUAGUCUUAACCAUAAACUAUGCCGACUAGGGAUCGGAUGAUGUUAAUUUUAUAAUGACUCACUCGGCACCUUACG
rnacentral:rRNA from 1 species